rnacentral:rRNA from 1 species
UACGGAGGGUGCGAGCGUUGUUCGGAAUUACUGGGCGUAAAGCGCGUGCAGGCGGCCGAUUAAGUCCGGUGUGAAAGCCCGGGGCUCACCCCCGGAAGUGCGCUGGAAACUGGUCGGCUAGAGUACGGGAGAGGGAAGCGGAAUUCCUGGUGUAGCGGUGAAAUGCGUAGAUAUCAGGAGGAACACCGGCGGCGAAGGCGGCUUCCUGGACCGAUACUGACGCUGAGACGCGAAAGCGUGGGGAG